rnacentral:rRNA from 1 species
GACGAACGCUGGCGGCGUGCUUAACACAUGCAAGUCGAACGAAGAGCGACGGAAGCUUGCUUCUAUCAAUCUUAGUGGCGAACGGGUGAGUAACGCGUAAUCAACCUGCCCUUCAGAGGGGGACAACAGUUGGAAACGACUGCUAAUACCGCAUACGAUCUAAUCUCGGCAUCGAGGAUGGAUGAAAGGUGGCCUCUACAUGUAAGCUAUCACUGAAGGAGGGGAUUGCGUCUGAUUAGCUAGUUGGAGGGGUAACGGCCCGCCAAGGCGAUGAUCAGUAGCCGGUCUGAGAGGAUGAACGGCCACAUUGGGACUGAGACACGGCCCAGACUCCUACGGGAGGCAGCAGUGGGGAAUCUUCCGCAAUGGACGAAAGUCUGACGGAGCAACGCCGCGUGAGUGAUGACGGCCUUCGGGUUGUAAAGCUCUGUUAAUCGGGACGAAAGGCCUUCUUGCGAAUAGGGAGAAGGAUUGACGGUACCGGAAUAGAAAGCCACGGCUAACUACGUG